rnacentral:misc_RNA from 1 species
GUUUUGGCACGCAAAUAAAGCGCUGCGGAGGCGCGUAGACUUAGUUUUUCCCCUUCCAUAAGUAAGUUUCUGACUCACCUCGUCUUCCCCAUUUCUUCGCAUUCCAUUUCAAAUUUUUGAUCUGGGUUCUCUCCUUUCUUCCCUAAUUCAUCAUGGCCAAAGCCGAAAACCUUGAGGAAUCCAGCCCACUUCUCGCCAAAGUCGUUGAAAAUGCGGAUCAGAAGGAUGCCCAUCGUAGCUCCACGGCGGCUAGCCCCGAUGCGGUGCCUCCGCCGCCUCCUGCUCGGAAAGAUACGGAGAAGGAGAAUCGCGACGGUGACUGUGAUUAUGGGUGGACUGCUGAUGGGUUGCCGGUUCAUGGCAGUGUGGUGGGGGAGCCAGUCGGUCGGGC